UGUAGAGGCCCCGCCCCCCGCCCUCGGGGCCCGACCACAGGUUGAGGGGCUGGAGCGCGGGGGAGGGCAGCUUUAUGGGCCGAAGAACCGGAGCUCACCGCGGGCCUCCGCCUCCUCCCCCGAAGGGUGACGCAACUCCGUUGCCGUAGCAACCACUCCCCGCCUCUUCUGCGAAUUGUAGCCAGGAGAAGAAUGCAGACAGCCCCCCAGCCUUCUAGGAAGAGAGACUAGAUAAUUUCCAAGGCCCCUUUCUGUUCUGAUUCUGUGUCUGGAUUCUGUGAAGUUAUUCACCAACAAGUGAGACCCUGAGUGUUCUCACCUUCCUAAGGCUGUCAUUCCCAGAGAAGCUUCAGAAGCUGAUGAACCAUUACAGACCAUGAUCGCAGAAACCAGAUUUCAUCCUCUAUGACACAGGCUUCUGAAACUGAAAUUUUAAAUAAUGACCCUCUUCCAAAUGCACAGUUGUAGAUAGAUACUGUGCUCUUGUAGACAGAUUCUCUCCAAAAAUAACAUAGCAAAUCUGAACGUGACUAACUUAAGAAUUGCAGUGAAGGAAGAGGCAAUGAUUAAGUGCCUAGAAAAUGGACAUUUACAUUAAAAAAAAUAAUAAAACAGAGCCAGUGUUAUAUUUUCAUACACCCCCCCCCAAAACCCUAAGCCCAAUCCUUGUGUAGAUUUUGGAAAUGUUUAAUUUCCUACAGAGGCCUCAAUCCUUUAAAAAAAAUCUAAUUAAAAAUUCCAAUCAAUGCCAUAUAAAAAUUCUAUGUAUAAUUCCAUUCAUAGGAACUGAAAUAUGUGACUUGGAGGAGAAACGAUUUUGGAGAUGAAGGAUAGAUUUUUGGAGGGGGAUAAACAGUCACCUUUCUUAGCUUCCCUCACUACUUGCUAUAUGUAAAUGAACACAGUUAAAUAUCAGAAACCUUUUCUGUUCUCCACACUGAGUGAUACUUAAAAACAAACUGCCCACCGUGCAAAAGGAUUUCAGAGCUUCCUUUUCUGGUCUCAGGGCCUAAUUUAUCCCUCUCUUUCUCAGACUGUCCCUGGACGACCACUGUCUUUCUUUUUAACACACUAGGAUUUUUUCCAUUUUUCAUUUCCAAAGAAGGCAAACAUUUUUAGUCCCUUGACCUUUACGGCCCAUGACCAUGAACAAUUCUAUCAGGUCAGCGCCACCAAAGUGGUCCCGUUGGCCACUGCAGUAAGGGACGGGGGUGAGUGGAUGUCUAAGACAGGUAGAAUUCCCUUUUUUCUCUGAAGGUGAGGGAGCCUUUAGCUUGGGAGCAGUACGCCAUACUGUUAUUGCUGGCGAAUUCUCCAAUGUAGAGUGCUUCUGCUUAACAGAGGGAGAAUUCCUUUAUUCUGGGUAUAU